rnacentral:ncRNA from 1 species
UUCAUCAAGAGCAAUCGAGGGACAUGGCCCGAUAACAUUGCGGCAACCCCCAUUACGGGAAGGUGCCAAUUCCACGGCAGAAUCUGCCGACAGAUGAA